AUUGAACGCUGGCGGCAGGCCUAACACAUGCAAGUCGAGCGGAUGAAGGGAGCUUGCUCCUGGAUUCAGCGGCGGACGGGUGAGUAAUGCCUAGGAAUCUGCCUGGUAGUGGGGGAUAACGUCCGGAAACGGGCGCUAAUACCGCAUACGUCCUGAGGGAGAAAGUGGGGGAUCUUCGGACCUCCCGCUAUCAGAUGAGCCUAGGUCGGAUUAGCUAGUUGGUGGGGUAAAGGCCUACCAAGGCGACGAUCCGUAACUGGUCUGAGAGGAUGAUCAGUCACACUGGAACUGAGACACGGUCCAGACUCCUACGGGAGGCAGCAGUGGGGAAUAUUGGACAAUGGGCGAAAGCCUGAUCCAGCCAUGCCGCGUGUGUGAAGAAGGUCUUCGGAUUGUAAAGCACUUUAAGUUGGGAGGAAGGGCAGUAAGUUAAUACCUUGCUGCUUUGACGUUACCAACAGAAUAAGCACCGGCUAACUUCGUG
rnacentral:rRNA from 1 species